UAGGGAAUAUUGCUUAAUGGGCGCAAGCCUGAAGCAGCAACGCCGCGUGUGCGAUGAAGGCCUUCGGGUCGUAAAGCACUUUUUGGAGGGAUGAGGAAGGACAGUACCUCCAGAAUAAGUCUCGGCUAACUACGUGCCAGCAGCCGCGGUAACACGUAGGAGGCAAGCGUUAUUCGGAUUUACUGGGCGUAAAGCGCAUGUAGGCGGUCUGGAAAGUUGGAUGUGAAAGCUCCCGGCUUAACUGGGAGAGGUCGUUCAAAACUACCAGGCUAGAGGAUGGGAGAGGGAGGUGGAAUUCCGGGUGUAGUGGUGAAAUGCGUAGAUAUCCGGAGGAACACCAGUGGCGAAAGCGGCCUCCUGGCCCAAACCUGACGCUCAGAUGCGAAAGCUAGGGUAGCAAACG
rnacentral:rRNA from 1 species